AGAUUGAACGCUAGCGGGAUGCUUUACACAUGCAAGUCGAACGGCAGCGCGGACUUCGGUCUGGCGGCGAGUGGCGAACGGGUGAGUAAUAUAUCGGAACGUGCCCAGUAGCGGGGGAUAACUACGCGAAAGCGUGGCUAAUACCGCAUACGCCCUACGGGGGAAAGGGGGGGAUCGCAAGACCUCUCACUAUUGGAGCGGCCGAUAUCAGAUUAGCUAGUUGGUGAGGUAAAGGCUCACCAAGGCGACGAUCUGUAGCUGGUUUGAGAGGACGACCAGCCACACUGGGACUGAGACACGGCCCAGACUCCUACGGGAGGCAGCAGUGGGAAUUUUGGACAAGUGGGGGAAACCCUGAUCCAGCCAUCCCGCGUGUGCGAUGAAGGCCGUUCGGGUUAGUAAAGUCGUACGUUUUGGCGAGGAAGAAACGGCGUACCCGUUAA
rnacentral:rRNA from 1 species